rnacentral:rRNA from 1 species
AGGACGAACGCUGGCGGCGUGCUUAACACAUGCAAGUCGAGCGGAAAGGCCCUUCGGGGUACUCGAGCGGCGAACGGGUGAGUAACACGUGAGCAAUCUGCCCUUAGCUUCGGGAUAGCUCCGGGAAACCGGAAUUAAUACCGAAUACGACCUCGGCCGACAUCGGCCCUGGUGGAAAGUUUUUCGGCUAGGGAUGAACUCGCGGCCUAUCAGCUUGUUGGUGGGGUAAUGGCCUACCAAGGCGACGACGGGUAGCCGGCCUGAGAGGGCGACCGGCCACACUGGGACUGAGACACGGCCCAGACUCCUACGGGAGGCAGCAGUGGGGAAUAUUGCGCAAUGGGCGAAAGCCUGACGCAGCGACGCCGCGUGGGGGAUGAAGGCCUUCGGGUUGUAAACCCCUUUCAGCAGGGACGAAGCGAAAGUGACGGUACCUGCAGAAGAAGCGCCGGCUAACUACGCGCCAGCAGCCGC